GUGCCUACGGGGGGCAGCAGUGGGGAAUAUUGCACAAUGGGGGAAACCCUGAUGCAGCAACGCCGCGUGGGUGAAGGAGCGUUUCGGCGCGUAAAGCCCUGUCAGCGGGGAAGAAGAAAGACGGUACCCGACCAAGAAGCCCCGGCUAACUACGUGCCAGCAGCCGCGGUAAUACGUAGGGGGCGAGCGUUAUCCGGAUUUAUUGGGCGUAAAGCGAGUGCAGGCGGUUCAAUAAGUCUUAUGUGAAAGCCUUCGGCUCAACCGGAGAAUUGCAUCCG
rnacentral:rRNA from 1 species